CCCUCUGUGGCACUUUUGUCUGCAACAUCUAACCACUGCAUCGGUAUGCACACCUACGAGCAUGAUGUGCACUGAAUGCUGAUGCAGAGAUCACUGCUCUGUUUCUAAAGGAAUGAAAUCCCAGGAGAAAGAAAAAACCUCGCAACUUGUAUUAAACAUGAAGUGCAGUGCAGUUCCUGGGACUCUCACAGCUAAAGCUGCUGUAAAGCAGCGCUUCUUAACCGCUCGACUGGAUCCCAAAGAUGUUUCUGCUCCCUGGGUGGAUCGUACAGCCGGGGGCCCCUCCAC